UUCCCCUAGUAACGGCGAGUGAAGCGGGAAGAGCUCAAAUUUGUAAUCUGGCACCUUCGGUGUCCGAGUUGCAAUCUCGAGAAGUGUUUUCCGCGCCGGACCGCAUACAAGUCUGUUGGAAUACAGCGUCAUAGUGGUGAGAACCCCGUACCUAAUGCGGAUGCCCGGUGCUUUGUGAUACACUUUCGAAGAGUCGAGUUGUUUGGGAAUGCAGCUCAAAUUGGGUGGUAAAUUCCAUCUAAAGCUAAAUAUUGGCGAGAGACCGAUAGCGAACAAGUACCGUGAGGGAAAGAUGAAAAGCACUUUGGAAAGAGAGUUAACAGUACGUGAAAUUGUUGGAAGGGAAACGCUUGAAGUCAGACUUGCUAUUCGGAAUUCAGCCGCAAGGUGUACUUUUCGAUUUGCAGGCCAGCAUCAGUUUUUGGGGAUGGAAAAGGGCCGGAGGAAGGUAGCAAUUUAGGUUGUGUUAUAGCCUUCGGCUGGAUUCAUCUUUGGGGACUGAGGAACGCAGCGCGCUUUUUGCAAGGCUCUCGAGCUUUCCGCGCUUAGGAUGCUGGUGGAAUGGCUUUAAACGACCCGUCUUGAAACACGGACCAAGGAGUCUAACAUGCUUGCGAGUGUUAGGGUGUCAAACCCGGACGCGCAAUGAAAGUGAAUGGAGGUGGGAUCCGCAAGGUGCACCAUCGACCGAUCUGGAUUUUCUAAGAUGGAUUUGAGUAAGAGCAAUUAUGUUGGGACCCGAAAGAUGGUGAACUAUGCCUGAAUAGGGCGAAGCCAGAGGAAACUCUGGUGGAGGCUCGUAGCGGUUCUGACGUGCAAAUCGAUCGUCAAAUUUGGGUAUAGGGGCGAAAGACU
rnacentral:rRNA from 1 species